AUGGCGGACAAGCCGAGCCGGGCGCUGGUGCUGUACACCGCCGGCCACGAGGCGCUGCUCACCGGGGGCGGAGGGGGGAAGGGCCAGCUCGACGCAUUCGCCUCCAUCGCCUCCUGCGGCUUCCUCUCCGUCCGCACUCCCGCGAGGCUUCUGGUCUUGUCUCCCAAACCAGAGGAUGGAGGGGACAGGAACAACGACUUGAUUCUCGAGCUGGCAGCUGCUAUGGUCAGCAAUUGCCCCAGUCUUAGCUCAUUCUCGGCGAAUCUUGGCUUCCACGUUUUCGGAACUGAGGAUUUUGCCUUGCAGUCAGGUUCUGGCAGCAGUUCUAAGGACACUAGAAUAAUCGACCGGGCGUUCACUCUGCUGGGAUUUGCAGAGGGGAAUGUCCAGGAUGCGUCCGAAUUCGAUCUGGGGUUUGUGCAUGCCGCAAUGGAGAACACAUCCAGCAAGCUUGGGAAAUUAGGGAUGAAGAUGGAUCUCAACCGGCUUGACAAAUUGGUGGCUUCAAUCAUGGAAGCUGCGCCGCUCGGUUCAGCUGUCGCUGCCCGUAUUCAUGUUUCUGUUAUCUUGAGCUAUGGAUCUGCUACUGCAAAUAAGGAACAUGCAUGCCUCAUCUUGAACUCUUCAACCGAAAUUGAUUCCGACUUGAAGAAUCAUCAUCCAAUGCUACUGGCACAGUGGCAACAAGGAGUAACACGUUCUGAUUUGGCCAAGGAUUUAUGUGAUAAUAUAGUAAGUAUGGUAUUACAAAUUCUCAACCUCCUCUUUUGA
rnacentral:rRNA from 1 species